rnacentral:rRNA from 1 species
UACGAGGGGGGCAAAUGUUGUUCGGAAUCACUGGGUGUAAAGGGAGCGUAGGCGGGUUCUUAAGUUAGGUGUUUAAUCCCGGGGCCCAACCCCGGACCGGCACUAAAACUGGGAAUCUUGAAUAGUGGAGAGGUCAGUGGAAUUGGGGGUGUAGCGGUGGAAUGCGUAGAGAUCAGGAAGAACAUCGGUGGCGAAGGCGCUCUGCUGGACCUAACUGACACUCAGGGACGAAAGCUAGGGGAGCGAAUGGG